CGCAGAUAUACGGGACCUACAGUUUAACGUCGGUUUCGAAUGGCGGUAAUUUUUUAAGAAGAGGUUCUCUUAGCAAAGAUACUUUCGGUGGUUUGCCGUUGCCUUCCGAGAAGCGGCGAUCGCUUCCGAAUCGAUUAAAAUCGAUUUCAGAGUAUUAUUCUGGGUAGAUUUGAACUCGGAUUUUUAUUAUAUAAAGCUGCCGCGCUGCUCCUUGCGCCACAAUCGCCACUAUUAGACUUGCAUACUAUAUUGUAAUAUGCGUUAUUAAUCAAUUGAAAAUCCGUACUAGUUAAGAGAAAUUGCAUGACAUUGGUAAAUGUAUUGAUGUGGUAUCAUUGGCAAUAAAAUAAUCGGAUUAUAUUUUGUAAACAAAACACUAGCAUAAAAUAUGAAAACAUUAUACGCACAGAUUUCUAUAUACCCUGGAUCGUCAAUUCCGAGAAAUGAAGCAGAGUAACUCAGGAGAAGGGAUAGCAGCCAUUUUUACCCAGUAAUGGGUUACAUUCCAAAAUUUUAACCUAUAUUAUUAAAUGCAUACUAACACUACUUCAUAAAACACAAUGUAGGGUAAACUAGAAUAAUACGGAGAAGAUGAUAAACUUAAAACUAGACCAUACGGAAAAGAUGAUUAUAGGCUGUAAUUUCUCUAAUAAUUGCGAAAUAGUGAAUUUUUUAAAUCAUUCUCAAAGAUAAUCAAUAUUUACAGUAGUUUAUGUGCGUACAUUGUUCAAAAUAACAAUAAUGUGAAUAUUAUAUAAUAUUUUUACUUUUAACUGUCAGCAAAAUUUUACAUGUGUUCACUAAAAGCUGUUAUAACAUCGAAUAAAUUACAGUUAAGCUGCCGUAAUCAACAUACACACACAAUAAACGAUUCAUAAAUUGUAAUGUGACUUAUUAUUUGUAUUUUUAUUUUCAGUAUUUAUUUAUAAAUACUAUGGCCUUCUUUUCUUUCGGAUAAGAAUAAUAAGGCUCACUUUUUUCAUGUUAAGUUGGCCAACAAGCUGCGUUUGGAAACAUCACCGAUUGUCUCUAUGUAUUAUUUUAUCCUUGUUAUUCACUGAAUAUUAAACAAAUAUAACACGAUAGAGGGCACUCGGUGCAAACGCAGCAUUGUUAAGAUAAAUGUCACUUAUUAUAAACUGACAGCUUACUAUAAAUUGACUUUACAAUUGUGGAUAAUGUGCAACAAAAGAAAGUAUUAAUAUUUUUCACUUUGAUUUUGUUAUAGUUUCAGUAAAUAUCACAAUAUUUACUUUGUAAGUUAUUAUCAGGUAAAAUUGACCGGUCAGAACUUCCUUCUCGAAAGAGGACAAAGAAAAGCCAAGAUAGUGAAUGUACACGCCGCAAAAUGGCCCAUAGCCAAAUGGCGUGCACGUGCGAAUAGAGCUAUUCCUGGGCAGUAAAUAAAAGAGCCUACCAGUCGAGGACACUGGCCACUGCUGAUGACGCUUAAACGUUGCUGCUUGGCCGUGAAAAUUCUUGGGUAGUUCAACUAGUUUAGAGCUUUUGUGUUUACUUAAAAGAAAUCACCUGCAUUAAUAAAACACAUUUUUACUAAUUAUUCGAUGAGAAUAAUCUCACUUUUCAAUUUCACUUUCACUUUGUAUCUCAUGUUUUAUUAUAUUGAUAAAAAUAUGUCGAAAUAACGGAGCGGUUAUUUAUGCCAUAUUUUGUUUAUUGUUAUUAUAAUUCUAUAAUUUAAAAAAGAAAAGAUAAUUGCAUAUAUAUUUUUGAUGAAAUUAAAAAGAUUGUAAUGUAGUAAAAGAAUAAUGAUAAGUAAUCAUAGCAUACAAAUAUAAUUUUUUAAUUGGCUUUCGAA